rnacentral:rRNA from 1 species
GUGUCAGCCGCCGCGGUAAUACGGGGGGGGCUAGCGUUGUUCGGAAUUACUGGGCGUAAAGGGCUCGUAGGUGGCCAACUAAGUCAUGCGUGAAAUCCCUCGGCUUAACCGGGGAACUGCGUCUGAUACUGGAUGGCUUGAAUCCGGGAGAGGGAUGCGGAAUUCCAGGUGUAGCGGUGAAAUGCGUAGAUAUCUGGAGGAACACCGGUGGCGAAGGCGGCAUCCUGGACCGGCAUUGACACUGAGGAGCGAAAGCCAGGGGAGCAAACGGGAUUAGAUACCCCCGUAGUCC